rnacentral:rRNA from 1 species
CGAUCCUACGGGGGGCAGCAGUGGGGGAUAUUGCACAAUGGGGGAAACCCUGAUGCAGCGAUGCCGCGUGAGGGAAGAAGGUUUUCGGAUUGUAAACCUCUGUGGAGGGGGACGAUAAUGACGGUACCCCUUUAGGAAGCCACGGCUAACUACGUGCCAGCAGCCGCGGUAAUACGUAGGUGGCGAGCGUUGUCCGGAAUUACUGGGCGUAAAGCGAGUGCAGGCGGUUCAAUAAGUCUGAUGUGAAAGCCUUCGGCUCAACCGGAGAAUUGCAUCAGAAACUGUUG